rnacentral:rRNA from 1 species
GAUGAACGCUGGCGGCGUGCUUAACACAUGCAAGUCGAACGGAAAGGCUCCUGCUUGCAGGGGUACUCGAGUGGCGAACGGGUGAGUAACACGUGGGUGAUCUGCCCUGCACUUCGGGAUAAGCCUGGGAAACCGGGUCUAAUACCGGAUAGGACGAUGGUUUGGAUGCCAUUGUGGAAAGUUUUUUCGGUGUGGGAUGAGCUCGCGGCCUAUCAGCUUGUUGGUGGGGUAAUGGCCUACCAAGGCGUCGACGGGUAGCCGGCCUGAGAGGGUGUACGGCCACAUUGGGACUGAGAUACGGCCCAGACUCCUACGGGAGGCAGCAGUGGGGAAUAUUGCACAAUGGGCGCAAGCCUGAUGCAGCGACGCCGCGUGGGGGAUGACGGCCUUCGGGUUGUAAACUCCUUUCGCUAGGGACGAAGCGCAAGUGACGGUACCUGGAGAAGAAGCACCGGCUAACUACGUG